ACCUGACUGCUAUCGGAUUGAUACUAAGCCAUGCGAGUCUUUGCAGUAAUGCAAGGCAUACGGCUCAGUAACACGUAGUCAACUUACCCUAUGGACGAGGAUAAUCUCGGGAAACUGAGCAUAAUACUCGAUAGAUCAUAAUGCCUGGAAUGGUUUAUGGUUGAAAUGAUUCGUCGCCAUAGGAUGGGGCUGCGGCCUAUCAGCUUGUUGGUGAGGUAAUGGCCCACCAAGGCGAUUACAGGUACGGGCUCUGAGAGGAGAAGCCCGGAGAUGGGUACUGAGACAAGGACCCAGGCCCUAUGGGGCGCAGCAGGCGAGAAAACUUUGCAAUGUGCGAAAGCACGACAAGGUUAAUCCGAGUGAUUUCUGCUAAAGAAAUCUUUUGCAAGUCAUAAAACCACUAGUGAAUAAGGGGUGGGCAAGUUCUGGUGUCAGCCGCCGCGGUAAAACCAGCACCUCAAGUGGUCAGGAGGAUUAUUGGGCCUAAAGCAUCCGUAGCCGGCUCUGUAAGUUUUCGGUUAAAUCCAUGUGCUCAACGCAUGGGCUGCCGAAAAUACUGCAUAGCUAGGGAGUGGGAGAGGUAGACGGUACUCAGUAGGAAGGGGUAAAAUCCUUUGAUCUAUUGAUGACCACCUGUGGCGAAGGCGGUCUACCAGAACACGUUCGACGGUGAGGGAUGAAAGCUGGGGGAGCAAACCGGAUUAGAUACCCGGGUAGUCCCAGCUGUAAACGAUGCAGACUCGAUGAUGCAUUGGCAUAUAGCCAGUGCAGUGUCGCAGGGAAGCCGUUAAGUCUGCCGCCUGGGAAGUACGUACGCAAGUAUGAAACUUAAAGGAAUUGGCGGGGGAGCACCACAAGGGGUGAAGCCUGCGGUUC
rnacentral:rRNA from 1 species